AUGGUGGUGGGCGAGAACAAGCGAACUGCCAACAUUAUGGAUGGCAUCGAGAAUACGGGAGAUGUACGGUUGCAUGACCAUCGCCUGCGACUGAAGCAGAGAUUUGACAUAGUCAGAAAAUUAGGCCAAGGCACAUAUGGCAAAGUGCAACUUGGUAUCAACAAGAAGACAGGACAAGAAGUUGCCAUCAAGACCAUAAAGAAAUGCAAAAUCGAAUCGGAGGCCGAUCUUAUUCGCAUCAGGCGGGAGGUCCAGAUUAUGUCUUCUGUCAGACAUCCUAAUAUUGUACAUAUUUAUGAAGUAUUUGAAAAUAGUGAAAAAAUGAUCCUCGUUAUGGAGUACUGUUCCGGUGGUGAAUUGUACGACUACUUGAGUCAGAAAAAAGUAUUACAAGAGGAUGAAGCCAGAAGGUUAUUUCGACAAAUCGCUACAGCUGUUUACUAUUGCCAUAUACACAAAAUCUGCCAUAGAGAUUUAAAAUUAGAGAAUGUUUUACUUGAUGAUACUGGUAGUGCUAAGAUUGCCGACUUUGGAUUGUCAAAUGUAUUCAAAGAGACGUCGCUUCUAUCAACAUUCUGCGGAUCGCCUUUGUACGCGUCGCCUGAAAUCGUAAAAGGAACACCGUACAUAGGACCUGAGGUGGAUUGCUGGUCCUUGGGCGUGCUGCUAUACACUCUAGUCUAUGGAGCAAUGCCGUUUGACGGCUCCAACUUUAAACGGCUUGUCCGCCAGAUCAGUAACGGAGAUUACUACGAACCUAAAAAUCCAUCCAGCGCAUCACCGCUUAUUCGUGACAUGCUCACUGUGGACCCGUUAAAGCGCGCAGAUAUAACUUACAUUUGCGACAAUCCAUGGGUGAACGUCGGUUGCGAGACAUCAUGUCUAGAAAUGGCGGAGGCCUUAGCGGCGGAGACACCAGUUCGUCUUGACUUGUUACUCUCACUGGCACCAGCUGCGCCUUCCAACUCCAACUCGGUUGUAGUGCCGUCUGAGGCACAGAUGGGUCCAGAGGAGAGUUGCACGGAUCUCACGAGCUCUGCUUCGAUGGCCGUCGAGCCAAGCAACUCUGCCGAAAAAAGGAUCCUCGAACUCGUUGCUGAGGGUGGCGAAGAUGCGAUCAAACCAUCUCCGACGCGUACAAUAGUGUCAGCAGGAGACAACAAACGCAAGCUCGAGCUCGCAAUGUCCUCCAGUGGCAUGCAGAGAAAGAAAGAAAGAGUCGCCAGUGCGGUGGGAAUUGCUGCGCCAGGGCCGGCGCUCGAGGAAGAGGCGGCUGAUUUGCCUGCUGACACGCCUUCACCAGAACAGACAAGCCCGCCGACACUAAAAUCUUCAGCGACUAUCACGAUCCAACCGUCGCCACCGUCUGCCGCCCCUGCCACCCCAGCUCCCGCUACUGCCACUGCCUCCGUAGAACUAGUCAAGGUCCCUGUAAGAGAAGUAAAGGAGGCCCCUAAGGAAUCUCCCAAAGAGGAAGAUGCGAAGGAGAAGACUGGUGCCAAACCACGAGUUAUAAUUAAGAAAAAAGUUACCCCGAAGUCUUCCGAGGAAAAAGCUUCGCCUGAAAAACUAGAUGAACCGAAGCAGGAAGAAACAAAAGUAAGUUCAGUGGCGUCAGCGGCAGACAAAUUGACCUCGCUCUCUCUGGCGCAGCAGACGCCGACCAACCAAACGCCUGCAAAGCCUAAGAAACUAUCCUUUCCUGGCGGCAAUGUGGGCAGUUUUAAGGAACAGUUCGAACGUCGUGCUUCAUUGACUACCACUCCAGAAGUGAAGAAGAACUUCUCCAAACCAGCUUCAGUGUCAAAGAUCGCGAAGCCGAAAGCGCAGAGCGAGGACCGCGAGCUACCCGCGAAGAUGCCAGACAACGGUACAGUGAGAUUGCAACAGAUCGGCAUUGAACCUUCACAGACUAUACCCGACGAACACCCCAACCGUGGUAGUGUUAAGAAAACCGAAAGUGAGCCUUCACAUGGUUCCUCAUCAACAGAUCCCUCUACGCUGUUGCAAGACGCUAGAAGGAGUCUCCAGAACUCAAUGGCCAAACUGGUGGAAGAGAAGAAUACAGAAGAGAACCGACGUCGCGCCGCUCGAGAUAUCAUCUCUACCGCGAUUCGUACAGGUAAACCCCCAGUGCCGUACGGGCGGUCGUCGUCGGCGGGCGUGACGUCGCUGGCGUCACUGGGGUCGCCGCCAGCCACGCCGCCCACUGUGCCCGCGCCGCGCGUCUUCCGCACCGAGGCACAGCAUCGUGUCGAGGACCAUCGCAAUCGGGGUGUAUCGGUGGAACGGAUAAUUCCGAUUAACCUGGCUGGUGAUGAUUCGCCCACGUCGCCUCCGCCGCAAUCUAAAGCCGCGCCGUCUGCAUCUGCUGCAUCUAAACCAACUCAACAACCAUUAAGGCGCCUAGUAUCGAACGAGUCGACGGCCAGUGAGGCAUGUUCGGCUCCUAGCGGCGAGCCAAUCAAGAAGUCUGCGCGCGAGUUUAUUAUACCUAUCGCGGUGGAGGGCAAGGGCUACGUGACUCCGCGCCAACGCAGCCUCGAACCAGAGACUUCCAGCGCCACGCGCUUGACACGCACACCUAAACCUAGGCGCAUCAGCAGCCUCGUAAGCGGCGGGGAAUCGGAGGAAGAAGACGAAAUGCAUAUGCACAGGCUAAGGUCGACUCGAGCGGCACGUGCCGAGUCGGUGAGCUCUGGCGAAGAGGACGAGGAAGACGAAGGCUUCCAUCUGCUUACGGCUGAGAAUCUCUUUUCAACAUUGUUGCAUAGGGUCCGAGCAUUAACAAACCGCCUGAACGGCGAGGAAGGCCCUGGUUUCCAACACCCUCAUUCUUUGUUCAACAACUUACACCAGUCCCCGUUCUUCAACAGCCCUCACUUACCCCGGAGACAUCUUUUCACUCAUAGAUAUGUGGAAAAUAAAAGAAGCGUAUCAGAAACGCGUGAAGGAUGGGGAUCGCGCGACCUGCAUGCGGACUUCGAUACGAUGUUCAGCAAGCCACGAACGUCGCUGCCGCGAGGUAUUAGUAAGAAAAGCAAGCACCAAACGAAGACUCAACAAAACGCGGAACAGAACACGGAAAGCGGGUUAGACCUGUCCGACCUGGACCUGAGCUCGAUUCAGUUGUCCGAGGCCGAGAUGCGCGCGCUGUCGGGGCUGACGCCGGCGCUGUCGCGGCGCCUGCAGCAGCAGCUGCUGGCUAGCCUGCCUCCCGCCGCCGCGCGCUCUCUGCGCCGCACGCUCUCGCUGCACGACCCCAUCGCCACUUCGGCGCCGCCGCCGCGCUCGCGCUCUGCCUCCAAGGCCGUGACAUCCGAGCCCACCACGCCCGCCACUAACGCGCCCCGAUCCGACCUAACUGACGAUCAAACCACUGCACCCCGUAACGAAGUGACCGAAGCAAAAGACAAGUCCUCCGAAACGAAGGUUCAAGUUUCUGCUUUGAAAACGGACGAUUCGUUCAAGGAGGAGCUGGAGCUCUCCGCGCCGCAGUAUUGCACUCUUCCUCGGCUCAAGCGGCACUCGACUCGAUCUAGGGAAUCUACGCCCCCGAUGUCGCCCGCUGGCGAUUUAGGCGAGUAUGCUCCAAAAAUAAGUUCACUUUCGAAAGAGCCGAGGCACUCACGAGGGAGCAGCAUUCGCAGUACACCGGAUCGACCACUCCUUAGCAAGUAUUUAACCCCUGAGCGGACUCUUUCGCUUGACGAAUCUUACUCUUCCGACGGCGGCAGUAUUCUUUCGGAGCCCAGUUAUAUAGCGGCAUACGGUGUAUCGUCUAUUGGAAACGCGGGUCUCGGCUUUCGGCGGCACUCCAUGAGACUCGCCGGAGAACAGCCCAGAAAACGUAUUUCUAGGUUUCUUCGAGCGGACUUUUUCGAUUCGCCGUCGGACGAGAGCGUGUAUGCUAAACAUAAAAAAGAAAAAGAAUUAGAAACACAAAAGAUAUUAAGAGAAAUUAGAGAGAAAAGAAAUAAAUCUUUAGAGAUCUCUGAUGUGAAGAGUCCAACUGAGACGAUUGAUAGGCAAUCGACAUUCAAAGACGACUUUGCUCUUCCUCGCAAAUGUUUGUCACCAAUAUCACCUAUUAAUAGCAUUCUCUCUGCGAAAGAGCGUAGUAGAUCCAAUACACCGUUCUUUCCUAUUUUAGAUAAUAUAAAGGAGAGUACAUUAGAUUCGUCCUUAACGACAAAAUCCAACCGAUAUGGAAAAGUCGACGAUUCCAAUCUAUUUAAUUUAACUGAAGAGAGCGUUUUGAACAAGGAGUCCAAGCUUUCAAGACCAAAGAGUUACCCCAUAAAAAAUGUUGAGUCUUUCAAUAAGCCCAGUGAAACUGACUUAGUAGAAUGUAACAGUAUUGGCAAAGAUAAUGAAUCUAAAGAGAAAACUUUGUCAAGAGAAUCAAAAUUAUCAAGACCAAAGAGUUACCCAACCAGUAGUCCCUCUCCAGAAAAGGUUUUAAUCAGCCGAAAUGUCAAAAAAGUCGACACGCAAAGUGAAACGCCUAAAUCAAUACAGACAGAAGAGCCCCCAGACUCAAUAAAAAAUGACGUGGAAGUAAGUUUCAGUAUUGUGCUUCCUAAGAAAAGCACAAAACCAAAUGAAGUCUCUAAACCCGAUUUACUGAAGAAAAAUGAACCGCAAGAACAGAAAGAUGAUGCACCUGUAGAAGAUACCAAAAAAUUGGAAAACAUUUUGAUUCUGAAAAAAUAUCAAGUAAUGAACAAUAUCUCUGAUACACAAACUGUAAACAAAGCAAGUGAAAAUGGAACUGCAAAUAAAAACAAUGAAAUAAUAAACUCCGUCGAAAAGACUUCAUUUAACGAAGAUGCCAAGCUAAAAGUAAUGAAUCACACUUCCAAGAAGGAGGACAUUAACCUAAAAUCUCCUGAUACGGAAUCUAACGAAAAAAAGGGAACUAUCAAAAAGAAAAUUAUUAAAAAAGUGUCAUCGAAAACAAAGACUGACGCAGGCAGUAGUCAAGAAGGCAAUGGCGAAGGAAAGCCGGCAGCUGAAAAGAAAAAAGUCACAAAAAAAGUAAAAGAGAAAACUACAGACGAGGGAACAAAAACAACUACAGUCACAAAGAAGAAAUCUGUUCUUCAAUCUAUUGGGCACAAACUAGAAAAAUUGGCCUCGACGAAUAAAUCAAACUCACCCGAUAAAUUGACUGAAAAUAGUGUUACUUCUAAGGAAAUUAAAAAGGCCAAACUCAGUAGAAUGCAGCGAGAACAAUCUGUCCCUGUAAAUGCCGAUCCACCUACAGAGUCAAAUCUUAUUAAAAGGGCUGUCACUCUUACAGAUGUCGCUGCACUAGACUGCCAGAAUAUAACUUCCAGUAAAACUACGGUUUCCAAAGUAUUGGGCUUAUUUAAAAAAUUCGAACCUAAAGAAAAAAAUCUCAAAACUGUCGAAAAAUCUCAAAGUGACAAUUUAGAGGUAGUGGCAGAAACUAACGGUAAAGUUGAGUCUCUAUCUGAUGGUCUUUCAGACAAAUUUGAGGCAGAUAAACCGAAAAGGCCAACAUCACUGCUUUUAAACGGUCUAGGACGAAAAAAUAAAUAUGGAAGAUCUACCAGCGACUCCGUAUCUGCCACAUUAAUUGACAACGAUGAUCAAUCAGUAUCUAAGAAAGAAAAUAACUCCAAAAAUUUACGAAACAGUUUAAAAUUAGAUUUCUCUAAAUUGCCAAGAGUUAAGAAAAUAGUUCCUACAAAUCCUGUGAUAGAGCCUCAGAUGAUGAAUGUUACCUGCAACGAAAAGGGCGUUGAAAAGAAAGAAGCACUGGAAAAAAAUGGCAUAAUGACAAAUAGCAAAUUGGACGCGAGCUUAGAUAACGUAGAUUCACAAAGCCGCAGUCGAUCUAGGAGCAGAUCGACAUAUUCCAAUUCCGAAAUAAAGUCAGAUAAUAGCGCUGAAACAAAGGACUCCGAUAAAAAUCUGCCUUCUCCCAUGGACAGUACAGUUUAUCACCCGCAACGAAUUCAUGAAUCAACUACUCCUGAAAAAGAGGAUAUUGUGGAUAGAAUUCAUAGGAAAAGCUUUUAUUCCCGAUUCAAUGAGAAGAAACAAAGACGAAAAAGCAAUCUAGUAGGCCCAGGAGCUGCUGAAUAUGAUCCUGUGGCAAGAAUACAUGGUCAGCCAAGUGAGACGAAAUUUGACAUGUCCCCCACAUCCCCUGUCACUUACGAUAUAUCUCCAGGUUAUUCCGUAGGUCCAGACGUUUCGCCGUCCACAGAACGCUACCGAUCUCUUUUGACUGAUUUGUCUAAUAGUACUAGAAGUAACUUAAGGUUCGAUAACUACGGAUUGAACGAUAAAAUUGAUACCUAUCGAUCACUUGACCGAAAUGACUUUAGAAAGUAUCCCGGAACUAGAAGUUAUUUAGAUUAUGAUCAGCCAUCAUCAUAUACGUCGCAUAGAUAUACUCGAACGAAGUCACUUCUAGACAGCUCGGAUGGUAACGAAGAUCUCAAUAUUUCAUCUUUACGAGAUCCGCACAAAUACAAUCGGACAAUAUCCAUGUAUUCCCCGGGAAGUUAUGCUACUUAUAGGCCGAAGAGAACACGAAAUUCUGCCAUUAUAUUAAAAGAAAGCGAAAAAGAACCGAGCCCAGAAAACAUACUAGAAAAAAUAAGAAAUAGGAAAAAAAUCUCAAUUAGUGUGACUCGGAAACCGGACUCCGAAAAGGAACCACUGACAAGAUCCGAUGGCCCAUUUAAAGGCGAAGGCGACGGUGCAGAAUGCUCUGAGAAAGUUGACUGAAAGGCGCUACUAAUGUCGGCUGCGCAAUAAAGAGGGAAUAUUUGUGAUUUUUUAGGUAUUUGUUGAAUCUUCACUUUAGCGACAUAUUGGGAAUUCUUAAUCAUUUGGGUAUAAUUAUUCGUAGGAAGUGACAUGUAUCUAAGCUCCGUAUUUACACCGCGUUGUUGUUAGGUUUUCGAGACUGUACUGAAGAUAUUCUUGCCAAUCAAGUAGCCGUGUCGUAGUGACUCAUUCAUACACUUUCAUCGACGACAGAUGCUUUUUAUAAGACUGUCUUUAGUGACAAAUAGUAGGUAUUAUAUCAAAAGAAUCUCUCAUAAAUCAAUUUAAAUAUGUUAGAAGUUGUUCCCUAAACGCUUAAAAGACGCCAGUAAAUUGUAUGUAUUUUUGCAGUUGUUUUAUUAAGUGCGCAGUGAAUACUUAUUUACAUAAAAUCUUUGUUAUCUUUACUUGCAGUGGGACGAUAAAGCAGUAUAUUUUGAUACUCGAAUAUGGAUAUGUUAAAACCUCAUAAAUUAUACAAUUGACUAUUGAACAUAAUAUUUUGCAAAUUUUAUGGACCUUUGUUGAAAUAUUGUAAAUCGAUUAUUACGUGCCUUUAUACAAAGUAUUAGUGACUGGAUUUUAUAUAGUCCAUUUUAUUGAAAAGAGAGGAAACGACACGAUUUUAGUGUGUUUGCACAAUAUCUUUUACUCAAUCGUUUUUUUAAUCUUUUCAUAGCUACUAUGAAUUUACAUUUUUACGUGACACUAAGUCAAUUUUAAGUUUAAACGUAUAUCAUAAUCAUAUAUAAUUAAAGGCUAAGUCACGAACAGUAAUCGAAUAGAAUGGUGCUUAGACGGUUUUAAUAAUUUAUUUAUAGAUUGAACGUGUUAUAAAACCACUUACACCAAAUGUGUAUAUUUUAGCAAUAUAUAGUCUACUUAUAGAGUUUUCAGGUUUUUUAGAUCCAUUCGCGCGUAAUGUAAUUUAUACUAUUGCUUACCAGUCUAGUUGUAUUGGUACAGUAUUUAAGUUGUUACAGUGUUCGUUUGUUGCCAUCCUCAUCGAUUUUAAUAUAUGUCAAUGUCGCCUAGUUCGAUUAUAGUGGUAUUCAAAAGCAAUAUUUUUAAUGAAUCAUUAUUUUUUUCUUAAUUUGUCAUUUCGAUCCUAUUUAUUAUAUUAUUAGAAUUGAAAUUAUUUAUUUGGUGUGUGAGGAUUUUUAAUAUUUUUCCUUUUAGUCAUAGCUGCUACGAUUGUACUGGACACCAUGAUUGUUAAGAUCAAUAUUAAAAUUGCUAUCACACACGUUUUGUAUUGAAUGUGAAUAAAUU